UAUAACUUGCACAGUGCCUAUGGAAACUGGUUCCCAGGCAGCAAGCCUCUUAAACAGCAGGCCAUGGCCAAGAUCAUGAAGGCAAACCUGCCUAGUAUGUGUUACGUGAAUGGAUCCUCAAGGGGCUGCAGCUCUCUAUUCAGAAGAGCCGACUGAGCCUUAUCUCUCCUCUCAGAACUAUGGUGAGCUCUUCUCCAACCAGAUUAUCUGGUUUGUGGAUGACACUAAUGUCUACAGAGUGACUAUCCACAAGACCUUUGAAGGAAACUUGACAACCGAGCCCAUCUAUGCGGCCAUCUUCAUCUUCAACCCAUGGACAGGGCAGCUGUUUCUCAAGAUAAUCCACAUAUCCGUGUGGGCUGGACAAAAGCGUUCGGGACAGUUGGCUAAGCAGAAGACAGCUGAGGAGGUGGCUGCCCUGAUCCAAUCUCUGCCUGUGGAGGAGCCGCCCAAACAGAUCAUUGUUACCAGGAAGGACAUGCUGGAUCCAUUGAAGGUACAUUUGCUGGACUUCCUCAAUAUUGUAAUCAAAGGAUCAGAGCUUCAGCUCCCCUUCCAGGCUUAUCUAAAGGUGGCAAAGUUUGGGGAUCUAAUCCUUAAAACCACUGAACCCCAGAUGGUUCUCUUCAACCUCUAUGAUGACUGGCUCACGACUAUUUCAUCUUACACAGCUUUCUCCUGUCUCAUCUUGAUUCUUCAUUGGCUGCAUGUAAACAAUGACCAUGCAAAGGUGAUCCUGAAGCCAGAUAAGAUUACUAUCACAGAACUACAUCACAUCUGGCCCACUCUGACUGAUGAGGAGUGGAUCGAGGUGGAGGUGCAGCUCAAGGAUCUCAUCUUGGCCGACUAUGGCAAAAAAAACAAUGUGAAUGUGGCAUCACUGACACAAUUAGAAAUUCAAGACAUCAUCCUGGGUAUGGAGAUCUCAGCACCAUCAGAGCAACAGCAGCAGACAGCUGAGAUUGAGAAGCAGACCAAAGAACAGUCACGGCUGACUGCAACACAGACUCGCACUGUCAACAAACAUGGUGACGAGAUCAUUACCUCUACCACAAGCAACCACAAGACCCAGACUUUCUCAUCAAAGACUGAAUGGAGGGUCAGGGCCAUCUCUGCUGCCAAUCUGCACUUGAGGACCAAUCACAUCUAUGUUUUAUCUGAUGACAUCAAGGAGACUGGUUACAUCUAUAUCCUUCCCAAGAAUGUGCUUAAGAAGUUUAUCUGCAUGUCUGACCUUUGGGCCCAAACUGCAGGAUACCUAUAUGGGGUGAGCCCACCUAUAACCCCUGGGUGAAGGAGGUCUGCACUGUAAUGGUACCACAGUGGGGCACUCAUCAGACUGUGCACCUGCCUGGCCGGCUGCCCCAACAUGAGUACCUCAAGGAGAUGGAGCCCUUAGAUUAGAUCCACACUCAGCCCAAUGAGUCCGCCCAGUUAUCACCCCAGGAUGUCACCACUCAUGCCAAAAUCUGCCUGACAACCCAUCUUGGGAUGGUGAGAAGACCAUUAUCAUCACCUGCAGCUUCAUAACAGGCUCCUGCACACUGACAGCCUACAAGCUGACCCCUAGUGGCUAUGAAUGGGGCUAAAAGAACACAGACAAGGGCAACAACCCUAAGGGUUACCUACCCUCACACUGUGAAAGGGUCCAGAUGUUGCUAUCAGACUGCUUCCUUGGCUUCUUUAUGGUCCCUGCCCAGUCCUCAUGGAACUACAACUUUAUGGGUGUCCAGCAUGAUCCUAACAUGAAGUAUGAGCUACAGCUGGCAAACCCCAAAGAGUUCUACCAUGAGGUACAGAGACCCUCCCACUUCCUCAACUUUGCCCUCCUGCAGAAGAGUGAGGCCUACUCUGUGGACCAUGAAGACCUAUAUGCCUAGUUGUUCCCUCACCACUUAGACCAGACUAGUUCUGUCACUUUGCAAAGGUCUGCUGGGAACAGAAGCUAUGUCUUCCCCUAGGACAGAGCUAUAGCCCAACUUAAGACAGAAGAUUUCUCUAUUUCUUCUUUCCCACUGUAACAAAGCACCAUCCACAGGGUUCAAGAUGGGUCUGUAAGAAGAAAAUAUUUCCUCUUCUCAUCAAGGGAAGAGAAAGUUCCCAUAAAGCUCGUCUCUACAAAAGGCCUC